UCCUAAUCAUAUUAGAGAUGAAGGAUAAGAAAAAAAACCACAAAUGGAGUUCCUCUCUUGAGAUCAUAUUGAUGAUCCAAGUAGCUCCCAUCCUUUGGAAUAUGCAAGCAAAAUAAGUGUAAGCUCAAGCAAUCAACAUAAUCAAACAAGCUCUUAGAAGAUCCCCAAAUGUCUCUUGUAUCUUUCACUUUGGAUGAACAUGGCAAUGGUUCUUCAAUUUGGCUCAAAUAGGAUCCCCUAGCACAAAAGCAC
rnacentral:lncRNA from 1 species